AAAAAAAUGCUAUAAAACCCGGUAGUAAUGUCAAUUGAUAUAUAGUGACAUUUCAGCUCUGAUUCCUUUUCCUGGUUUCGCUAUACGUUUGGUUCGUUCUGGUGAAAUAUGCUAUUCAAAGUUUGUAUUAGGAUUUGUAAUUUUAAACAUAUGUAAAGGCCUUGUGCUUCACUCAAGACACAUACAUUGUGAAAGUUGGUAUCUGCUGUAUUAAAAUUGAUAUACAAACGCAAGGCAAUUAACGUUUAUAAAAUCUUG
rnacentral:lncRNA from 1 species